rnacentral:rRNA from 1 species
UACGUAAGGUGCAAGCGUUAAUCGGAAUUACUGGGCGUAAAGCGUGCGCAGGCGGUUUUGUAAGUCUGUCGUGAAAUCCCCGGGCUCAACCUGGGAAUUGCGAUGGAGACUGCAAGGCUAGAAUCUGGCAGAGGGGGGUAGAAUUCCACGUGUAGCAGUGAAAUGCGUAGAGAUGUGGAGGAACACCGAUGGCGAAGGCAGCCCCCUGGGUCAAGAUUGACGCUCA